rnacentral:rRNA from 1 species
UGGGGAAUAUUGCACAAUGGGCGCAAGCCUGAUGCAGCCAUGCCGCGUGUGUGAAGAAGGCCUUCGGGUUGUAAAGCACUUUCAGCGGGGAGGAAGGCGAUAAGGUUAAUAACCUCAUCGAUUGACGUUACCCGCAGAAGAAGCACCGGCUAACUCCGUGCCAGCAGCCGUGGUAAUACGGAGGGUGCAAGCGUUAGUCGGAAUUACUGGGCGUAAAGCGCACGCAGGCGGUCUGUCAAGUCGGAUGUGAAAUCCCCGGGCUCAACCUGGGAACUGCAUUCGAAACUGGCAGGCUAGAGUCUUGUAGAGGGGGGUAGAAUUCCAGGUGUAGCGGUGAAAUGCGUAGAGAUCUGGAGGAAUACCGGUGGCGAAGGCGGCCCCCUGGACAAAGACUGACGCUCAGGUGCGAAAGCGUGGGGAGCAAACAGG